GCAGUCGUGGCCGAGUGGUUAAGGCGAUAGACUAGAAAUCUAUUGGGCUCUGCCCGCGCAGGUUUGAAUCCUGCCUAUUGCG
rnacentral:tRNA from 1 species